GUAUAGUUCAGUUGGUACAGUAUGAGACUCUUAAAUCUCAGGGUCGUAGGUUUGAGCCCCAUGUUGAGCA
rnacentral:tRNA from 1 species